rnacentral:rRNA from 1 species
UUAAGUUGUCAAGGGCGAACGGUGGAUGCCUUGGCACCAGGAGCCGAUGAAGGACGUGGGAGGCCGCGAUAGGCCUGGGGGAGCUGUCAACCUAGCUGUGAUCCCAGGGUGUCCGAAUGGGGAAACCUGGCACGAGUCAUGUCGUGUCAUCCGCACCUGAAUUCAUAGGGUGUGUGAGGGGAACGCGGGGAAGUGAAACAUCUCAGUACCCGUAGGAAGAGAAAACAACCGUGAUUCCGUGAGUAGUGGCGAGCGAAAGCGGAUCUAGCCUAAACCUUUUGCGUGUGAUACCUGUCAGGGGUUGCGCAUUGGGGGUCGUGGGACCUGCUUGAAGGAUCUGACAGUUCUUCGAAGAGUUACAAAGUUUGGUGUUAGUCGAAUGGUGUGGGAAAGCCAGCCGUAGACGGUGAGAGCCCGGUAGACGAAAAUUCCAAGCCUCUUUGCAGUGUUCCCGAGUAGCAGCGGACUCCUAGAAUCUGCUGUGAAUUUGCCAGGACCACCUGGUAAGGCUGAAUACUUCCUGGUGACCGAUAGCGGACUAGUACCGUGAGGGAAUGGUGAAAAGUACCCCGGGAGGGGAGUGAAAUAGUACCUGAAACCGUUCGCCUACAAUCCGUCGGAGCCUUUAGGGGUGACGGCGUGCCUUUUGAAGAAUGAGCCUGCGAGUUAGUGGCAUGUGGCGAGGUUAACCCGUGUGGGGUAGCCGUAGCGAAAGCGAGUCUGAAUAGGGCGUUUUUAGUCGCAUGUUCUAGACCCGAAGCGGGGUGAUCUAGCCAUGGGCAGGUUGAAGCGUGGGUAAGACUGCGUGGAGGACCGAACCCACCAACGUUGAAAAGUUGGGGGAUGACCUGUGGUUAGGGGUGAAAGGCCAAUCAAACUCCGUGAUAGCUGGUUCUCCCCGAAAUGCAUUUAGGUGCAGCGUCGUGUGUUUCUUGCCGGAGGUAGAGCACUGGAUGGUCUAGGGGGCCCACAAGCUUACUGAAAUCAGCCAAACUCCGAAUGCCGGUAAGUGAGAGCGCGGCAGUGAGACUGCGGGGGAUAAGCUUCGUAGUCGAGAGGGAAACAGCCCAGAUCGCCAGCUAAGGCCCCUAAGCGUGUGCUAAGUGGAAAAGGAUGUGGGAUCGCAUGGACAACCAGGAGGUUGGCUUAGAAGCAGCCACCCUUUAAAGAGUGCGUAAUAGCUCACUGGUCAAGUGGUUCCGCGCCGACAAUGUAGCGGGGCUCAAGCACACCGCCGAAGCUGUGGCAUUCACACUUUGUGUGUGGAUGGGUAGGGGAGCGUCGUGCAGCGGGUGAAGCGGCGGAGUGAUCCAGUCGUGGACGCUGUACGAGUGAGAAUGCAGGCAUGAGUAGCGAAUGAAGGGUGAGAACCCCUUCCGCCGGAUGACCAAGGGUUCCAGGGCCAGGCUAAUCCGCCCUGGGUGAGUCGGGGCCUAAGGCGAGGCCGAGAGGCGUAGUCGAUGGAUAACGGGUUGAUAUUCCCGUACCCGCAAAGAAACGCCCAAGACGAACCUANNNNNNNNNNNNNNNNNNNNNNNNNNNNNNNNNNNNNNNNNNNNNNNNNNNNNNNNNNNNNNNNNNNNNNNNNNNNNNNNNNNNNNNNNNNNNNCUGGGGUAGUAGUUUAGUGAUGGGGUGACGCAGGAAGGUAGAUGAUCCCGGCCGGUGGUUGUGCCGGGGUAAGCGUGUAGGCCGUGUCAUAGGCAAAUCCGUGACACAUAUAGGUUGAGACGUGAUGCCGAGCCGUUCUGGUGAAGUCAUUGAUCCUAUGCUGCCGAGAAAAGCCUCUAGCGAUGUUUCGAGCGGCCCGUACCCUAAACCGACACAGGUGGUCAGGUAGAGAAUACCGAGGCGACGGGUGAACUGUGGUUAAGGAACUCGGCAAAUUGCCCCCGUAACUUAGGGAGAAGGGGGGCCGGACGCGUGAAGCCCCUUUGCGGGUGGAGCGUGGUAUGGCCGCAGAGAGCAGGGGGAAGCGACUGUUUACUAAAAACACAGGUCCAUGCCAAGUCGUAAGACGAUGUAUAUGGACUGACGCCUGCCCGGUGCUGGAACGUUAAGGGGACCUGUUAGCUCUUCGGGGCGAAGCGGAGAACUUAAGCGCCAGUAAACGGCGGUGGUAACUAUAACCAUCCUAAGGUAGCGAAAUUCCUUGUCGGGUAAGUUCCGACCUGCACGAAUGGCGUAACGACUUCCCCACUGUCUCAACCACAGGCCCGGCGAAAUUGCAGUACGAGUAAAGAUGCUCGUUACGCGCGGCAGGACGGAAAGACCCCGGGACCUUUACUAUAGCUUGACAUUGGUAUCUGAAUUCGAUUGUGUAGGAUAGGUGGGAGACUGUGAAGCUCGGACGCCAGUUCGGGUGGAGUCGUUGUUGAAAUACCACUCUGUUGGGUUUGGGUAUCUAACUUGCGGCCCUGAUCGGGUCGAGGGACAGUGUCUGGUGGGUAGUUUAACUGGGGCGGUUGCCUCCUAAAGGGUAACGGAGGCGCCCAAAGGUUCCCUCAGCCUGGUUGGCAAUCAGGUGUUGAGUGUAAGUGCACAAGGGAGCUUGACUGUGAGACUGACGGGUCGAGCAGGGACGAAAGUCGGGACUAGUGAUCCGGCACUUGCGUGUGGAAGCGGUGUCGCUCAACGGAUAAAAGGUACCCCGGGGAUAACAGGCUGAUCUUCCCCAAGAGUCCAUAUCGACGGGAUGGUUUGGCACCUCGAUGUCGGCUCGUCGCAUCCUGGGGCUGUAGCAGGUCCCAAGGGUUGGGCUGUUCGCCCAUUAAAGCGGUACGCGAGCUGGGUUUAGAACGUCGUGAGACAGUUCGGUCCCUAUCCGCCGUGCGCGUUGGAUACUUGAGAAGGGCUGUCCCUAGUACGAGAGGACCGGGACGGACGAACCUCUGGUGUGCCAGUUGUUCUGCCAAGGGCACGGCUGGUUGGCUACGUUCGGAAGGGAUAACCGCUGAAAGCAUCUAAGCGGGAAGCUCGCUUCGAGAUGAGGUAUCCCACCACCUUUGAGUGGGUAAGGCCCCCAAGAGACUAUUGGGUUGAUAGGCCGGAGAUGUAAGCACGGUAACGUGUUGAGUUGACCGGUACUAAUAGGCCGAGGGCUUAACC